GGCCAACAAAUUUAGGAUAAUAAAUUCUGAAGGUUUGGUGCAUGACGAUGGGAAAGAAGAAUCCGAGGCGUUAAGACUUAGUCAUAUGUGUCAAGAAUCUACCAAAUUGGCUUGUUUGGCUGCCCUAUCAUAUGAGAGUUACAAAAUUUACAUUGAAGCUAUGAAUGAUCUAUCCGAGAAGCUCCUAAAAAUUUCAUCUUAUGUGCCUCCUCCAAUCAUUGUUUGCCAUGAAAAGGAUGAUUUACAUUCCACCGAGCAAACUCAAGUGUUGCUUUUGGAUCCGAACAUCUCGCAAACUAAGGGUAGGAAAAAGGAUGUGAAGGGAAAAGAUGCUACUAUACACUCCGGAAGAUUGAAAAGCGGUAUAGAGUUGGGAUUAAACAAGAAGAAAAGAAAGUGUAACUUGUGCAAAGGAUCGGACAUGAUAAGAGAACUUGUCCUGAGAAUCCGAUGAGUAAAGCUAACAAAGCCUUAGAAACGGAAGCACAAUCGUCUGAUAGUGACCAAGAGAUGACGUAAUGAGAAUAUGGGCAAAGCAUCUUGAUGCCAAAGGAUUGCUUUGAAUGAUCAUGGAGUCUUUUUGGAUAUUUGCUCAUGGAGUUUAUGUACCUUUUUUUAAUUUAAUGAUGGAAAACUCAAUUUUUGGGAACUUUUGGAUGUUAUUUUUGUGUAGUAAGGGUGGACCAACGCUAGAUCUAUUUUGCCAAAUCAUGUUUUUGUUUGCAUAGUUGACUUUGUUGUUAACGUACAGGAUUGUUCAAGUUGAA